UGACCAUGAUCAUGGUCGUGAUCGUGCCCAUGGUCAUGAUCGUGAUGAUGAUGGUCGUGGUCAUGAUCGUGGUCAUGAUCAUGAUCGUGCGCA
rnacentral:pre_miRNA from 1 species